UACAGAGGUCCCAAGCGUUGUUCGGAUUCACUGGGCGUAAAGGGUGCGUAGGUGGUGAGGUAAGUCGGAUGUGAAAGCUCGGAGCUCAACUCCGAAAUGGCAUUGGAAACUACCUUGCUCGAGGGUUGGAGGGGGGACUGGAAUGCUUGGUGUAGCAGUGAAAUGCGUAGAUAAUCAAGCGGAACACCAGUGGCGAAGGCGGGUCUCUGGACAGGUUCCUGACGCUGAGGCACGAAGGCCAGGGGGAGCAAACGGGA
rnacentral:rRNA from 1 species